UGCGGAGGAAAAGAAACCAACAGGGAUUGCCUUAGUAGCGGCGAGUGAAGCGGCAAAAGCUCAAAUUUGAAAUCUGGCACCUUCGGUGUCCGAGUUGUAAUUUGAAGAUUGUAACCUUGGGGUUGGCUCUUGUCUAUGUUUCUUGGAACAGGACGUCACAGAGGGUGAGAAUCCCGUGCGAUGAGAUGCCCAAUCCUAUGUAAGGUGCUUUCGAAGAGUCGAGUUGUUUGGGAAUGCAGCUCUAAGUGGGUGGUAAAUUCCAUCUAAAGCUAAAUAUUGGCGAGAGACCGAUAGCGAACAAGUACAGUGAUGGAAAGAUGAAAAGAACUUUGAAAAGAGAGUGAAAAAGUACGUGAAAUUGUUGAAAGGGAAGGGUUUGAGAUCAGACUCGAUAUUUUGUGAGCCUUGCCUUCGUGGCGGGGUGACCCGCAGCUUAUCGGGCCAGCAUCGGUUUGGGCGGUAGGAUAAUGGCGUAGGAAUGUGACUUUGCUUCGGUGAAGUGUUAUAGCCUGCGUUGAUGCUGCCUGCCUAGACCGAGGACUGCGAUUUUAUCAAGGAUGCUGGCAUAAUGAUCCCAAACCGCCCGUCUUGA
rnacentral:rRNA from 1 species